AGUGGUGAGGGCCACAGCACGGGGAGAGAAACUGUUCAGGUAGAGAGUGGUGAGGGCCACAGCACGGGGAGAGAAACUGUUCAGGUGGAGAGUGGUGAGGGCCACAGCACGGGGAGAGAAACUGUUCAGGUAGAGGGUUUUGAGGGCCACAGCACGGGGAGAGAAACUGUUCAGGUGGAGAGUGGUGAGGGCCACAGCACAGGGAGAGAAACUGUUCAGGUGGAGAGUGGUGAGUGGUGAGGGCCACAGCACGGGGAGAGAAACUGUUCAGGUGGAGAGUGGUGAGGGCCACAGCACAGGGAGAGAAACUGUUCAGGUGGAGGCUGGUUUGUCAUGAUUAACCUGAACCGUUUGCAAGAAGAGAGUCUUCAGGGCAUGCUAAAAAUGAUUUGCAUGUCAUACAGGAUACUGCUGAAGUCUUUGCAUAGUCAUGCAUUUAAAUCUAAAACCCUCAAGCUGAGCUCACUGCUCAGACUUUGUUGAAGUAAUCUAGCAGACGGCUGAACCAGGGUCAGUUUUUAGAUGUGUUUCUUUGUUGAAGUAGUCUAGCAGAGGGCUGAACCAGGGUCAGUUUUUAGACGUGUUUCUUUGUUGAAGUAGUCUAGCAGAGGGCUGAACCAGGGUCAGUUUUUAGACGUGUUUCUUUAUUGAAGUAGUCUAG
rnacentral:lncRNA from 1 species